GCUUACGGCCACACCGCCUGGUUCACGCCCGAUCUCGUUUGAUCUCGGAAGCUAAGAUAGGUUGGGCCUGGUUAGUACGUGGAUGGGAGACCGCCUAGGAAUACCAGGUGCUGUAAGGC
rnacentral:rRNA from 1 species